AUGGUUCCUUAGAUCGUACCAAAUUACUUGGAUAACUGUGGUAAUUCUAGAGCUAAUACAUGCAAACAGAGUCCCGACCAGAAAUGGAAGGGACGCUUUUAUUASAUCAAAACCAAUCGGUCGGCUUGUCCGGUCCGUUUGCCUUGGUGACUCUGAAUAACUUUGGGCUGAUCGCACGGUCCUGGUACCGGCGACGCAUCUUUCAAAUGUCUGCCUUAUCAACUGUCGAUGGUAGGUUCUGCGCCUACCAUGGUUGUAACGGGUAACGGGGAAUCAGGGUUCGAUUCCGGAGAGGGAGCCUGAGAAACGGCUACCACAUCCAAGGAAGGCAGCAGGCGCGCAAAUUACCCACUCCCGGCACGGGGAGGUAGUGACGAAAAAUAACGAUACGGGACUCAUCCGAGGCCCCGUAAUCGGAAUGAAUACACUUUAAAUCCUUUAAUGAGUAUCCAUUGGAGGGCAAGUCUGGUGCCAGCAGCCGCGGUAAUUCCAGCUCCAAUAGCGUAUAUUAAAGUUGUUGCGGUUAAAAAGCUCGUAGUUGGAUUUGUGUCCCACGCUGUCGGUUCAUCGCUCGUCGGUGUCUAACUGGCAUGAUUCGUGGGACGUCCUGCCGGUGGUGGCGAGUCGAAAGCGUGCACCCGUUGUGGUUUCCACUUCGGUUCUUGGGCGCCGUAGGCGGACCCCGAUGAAAUCCUACCGCGGUGCUCUUCACCGAGUGUCGAGGUGGGCCGGCACGUUUACUUUGAACAAAUUAGAGUGCUUAAAGCAGGCCUGUUGCGCCUGAAUACUGUGUGCAUGGAAUAAUGGAAUAGGACCUCGGUUCUAUUUUGUUGGUUUUCGGAACCCGAGGUAAUGAUUAAUAGGGACAGGCGGGGGCAUUCGUAUUGCGACGUUAGAGGUGAAAUUCUUGGAUCGUCGCAAGACGGACCGAAGCGAAAGCAUUUGCCAAGUAUGUUUUCAUUAAUCAAGAACGAAAGUUAGAGGUUCGAAGGCGAUCAGAUACCGCCCUAGUUCUAACCAUAAACGAUGCCAGCUAGCGAUCCGCCGAAGUUCCUCCGAUGACUCGGCGGGCAGCUCCCGGGAAACCAAAGCUUWUGGGUUCCGGGGGAAGUAUGGUUGCAAAGCUGAAACUUAAAGGAAUUGACGGAAGGGCACCACCAGGAGUGGAGCCUGCGGCUUAAU
rnacentral:rRNA from 1 species